CCCAGCGAGAAAUUGAGCACAGCAGCUGCUGGAACAGGUGCUAAGUCUCUCACUGCCCAGGGCCGGCGGAGCCAGCCCGCCCCUCCGAGUGCUGGCCCGCUGAGCCCACGCCCACCCGGAACUCGCGCUGGCCCACAAGCACCGUGCGCAGCCCCAGUUCCCAUGGGCGCCUCUACCCCCACACCUCCCCACAAGCUGAGGGAGCUGGCUCCGGCCCCGCUCCCACAGUGCAGCGGUAGGCUGAAGGGCUCGAGUGCCACCAAAGAGGGAGCCCAGGGAGAGGAGGCACUGAGAGCGAGCGAGGGCUGCCAGCACGCUGUCACCUCUCAGUACAACUGGAUUCUGUUGUAGCAGCAUAAAAUGAACUAAGAGAGAUGGUAUUGCCAUUUUCCUUGGCUUCCCUGACAGAUUUUAUGCUUUCCAAUCUCAGUCUCUCAUGAAGCUCAACUUUGUUUACUUCCGUUGGAUUCAAUAAGACACCUUGUAGUACCCCUCUUCUGUGAACACUAGCCCUAGAAGCAACAUACAGCCAUUUUCUUCCGAGCUCUGUCACAUUCUUGGGAGACAACACAGCAGCCGUAAUUAUGUGCUCAGGGAAUUUCAAGUCACCCUACCAUGAACCUCUCAAAUGCCUAAGCUUUCUAAACUGAAAAAAAAAAAAAAACAGGAAGACAACUGACCUCAGGCUGUUUCUGCUUUGACCCUGCAACUAAACCAUGCUAAGGCAGGGAAGACAAAAUGCAACUAUUUUCAGGAUUGGCAAGGGGAAAAAUAGAAAACAAUGUGAAUUACUAUCAACAAACUAUAUAACUUUGAUAGUUUAAGUAUAUAUCUGUUACUUGCAAAUGAAAAAUUAUUGACUAAGGGAAAAGAUUAUUGAAAAUAACUAAUGGCAGUUUUCACCGCAUCAUUACCAGAGUCAAGUCUGAUGAACAAAGUGGUGUUCAAGACGGGUAAUUCUGUUUGGGGUCCAAAAUGAGCUGUAACUCUAAAGUAAUUAAACUGACAUUAAUAAUGA